rnacentral:rRNA from 1 species
UACGGAGGGUGCAAGCGUUAUCCGGAUUCACUGGGUUUAAAGGGUGCGUAGGUGGGCAAGUAAGUCAGUGGUGAAAUCUUCGAGCUUAACUCGGAAACUGCCAUUGAUACUAUUUAUCUUGAAUACUCUGGAGGUAAGCGGAAUAUGUCAUGUAGCGGUGAAAUGCUUAGAUAUGACAUAGAACACCAAUUGCGAAGGCAGCUUACUAGGCUGUAACUGACGCUGAGGCACGAAAGUGUGGGGAUCAAACAGG